AUUUUUUUUUAUUUUUUGGCAUAUGAAAAUUUAUUACUAUUGUGCUUUCACCAUCAAAACUUAUGAUCUUGGUCUUUCCUUCUUGCCUUUGUAUAAAGCCAAAAGAGAGACGUUGGCUACUUUGACCACCUUAAAGCAGACUCCAGGAAUCUGAAGAGCACAAGUCUGAACUU